GGUACUAAAGAAGAAAGAUUGCAUAUAAAUGAGGGUUUUUCCAGUUUACAUGACAAGAAUGGUAGUUCUGAGAAAUGACAAAAAUUACGAUAUUUAUGCUUUGUUUCUCUAACGGUACUGAAGAAAAAAUAGUGCAUCUAAAUUAGGGUUUUCUAAAGUAGUCUGUGACUCUGAGGAAGGACUGAAAUAACAAUAUGCAUGCUCUGUUUCGUAAAGUAAUGUUUACAAUAUCAAAUAAAAUAUUAAAAAGGAAAUUAUAAAAAUUUUCAUGUAUGUAAUAUUACGUAAUAAAUAUAUGCAUGGAAGAAAUAACACAAAAUAAUCUAUUAUAGUACUAUACAAUGUUAGGUAAUAAAUGUAUUAGUGGAAAAUUAAAUCUAUUGAGUGUGUGGUUAAGUCAACUUUGUCAAUUUCAAAAGUUAGGUAUUUUUUCAUUAAUUUCUGUAUCUUUUUUCGGCGUUGUAUGAAGAUUAGUCAACUACCUUUUUUUUUUUAGUUUCAUUUUUGUACUGAAGGUCAAAAACUUUAAUGUGGGCAAAUUUUUUGCUUGAAUUCUCUCUUUCUAACGACCAAACUGAAAUAUUUAUAUCUUUAACUUUUAUUUUUGUUGAUCAUACGUUCUAAUUUAUCUUCGUUGUGUCAUAUUUUCCUCGUCACCUACCGUCCACCCCUUCGUAUCCCAGCCCGGUAAAAUUUGUACACCCCCUUCAUCUAUCCUAUAGUUGAGUUCAAGUACGUGAUGAUUUGAGAUCCUUGAACUAAAAAAUUGACAUAAGUAAACUAGAAGUGUCGGUCACAAGUUGAAAAAAGUGUUGGCCACUGUGAGUCGAUGACAUGUCCCUUCCUCUGUGAACAUAUUUUGAUAUUUGGUCAAUGCACAUUGCUCAUGGACAACCCAUAUUGACAAUGCGCUUGAAUGGAAGCACACAUGGCAUUGAAUCAUGUUACAAGUGUGUUGUUCCCCUUAAGAAGCGAUGUGCCUUGCAAGGUAUUGCCAAAAGGGUGAUGCUACACGUACAUCAGAGUGUUCAUAACGAUAUUCAUCAUUUCACAUGAAGGGGGGGGGGGGGUCACUUCUAAUAAAAUAUAGUUUAUCCGAAGUGGGUUCUCUUCUAUGUGAAUUGGUGAAUAUCGUUAUGGACAUCAUAUUAUGUACAAUUAAUAUAUUCCUUGCUAGAAAUUGUAACUUCCUACCGAGGAAUUGGCCGCUUGACAUCAUAGUUUACACUGUCAAUUGACCAAAUGUUAUGUGCUAACAGUAUUAUUUUUUUAGCGAACGUAUAGUGCACAGAACUCAUGUUGGCUAGCAAUUGACAAUUCCUAAAGCGAGUAUUUAAAAGGUACACGUGGCUAUCUAAUUACCUUUUAAUCAUGUUAUACUUUUUAGAAACUCAACACUGUGUAAACAAUCGUCAAUUUCUUACUUUUUUUUUGGUUGUCGGUAUGUUGUUUGGUGGGUGCUAAUUGCACAUGUCCCUAUUGAUAUGUCCUAGAGGAUUGACAAUGACUAGAUUGUGGUGCUUGCUUCUUGUGUCUUUGGCAUGUACUGUGAACUGUGAAGAGGGGAAGCUGAAGAGAUGCUUUGGGGGUUGAAACUACACCCUUCAAGAAUAGAAGGUGUAUAUUUGUAAUAUUAAUUCAAAACAAAGUUAUUUAUUUGGGAAAAACAACAGAUAGUCUCCAUCCGAUUGACGACUUCACUUGAG
rnacentral:lncRNA from 1 species